rnacentral:lncRNA from 1 species
GUGAGCAGAAAGCUGAUACCUCAGUUCAAGGUAAACCUACGUUAUCUUCUGACAUGAGCAAGGCAGUCUCGCCUGUUAGUGCCAUGGUGGAUUGCUCUCCUCCUGUGGUGCUGAAGGCCUGGAGAACAUGCCCAGACUCUCCGAGAGAUAACACUUCCCUGUGUAAUAACUCGGAUGAAUCCCAGUCUCAGCUCAGCUCAACUCACAUCUCUCUAGCCACCAUCGAGAGCCACCCAAGAUCUGAAGAGCUAGAGCCACCAAAAGAGACACAAUCUGACUUUGAAAACUCCAUCCCACAUCACUUAUCUAGCAAAACUGUUGAUGAAAACCAACAUAUUUGCACGGAUAGGAAAAAAAUGAACUGCCCGGAGGACAUAUUUAAGAGCCUCUCGCGGCCCCCAGGCCAGUCGCCUGCAGAUCCUCCUCUUAAAGCUCUGCUCCAGCGGUGUCGCUCUCUGCCGCUGCCGACCACGCUGUCUGCACUGGAGCCCAUUGCCCUGACACACGUGCUCACCCCUCCAGCUAAGACCAUGGCUAAAUCAGUCGUUCUCCGCAUGAGGAACAGCAGCACAGGAUCCAACAGACGCAAGCUGUUUAGACCAGGAUCAGGACCACUGCAUGUCAACAUGGUGAGUCCCGAAACUUC